rnacentral:rRNA from 1 species
AUUGAACGCUGGCGGCAGGCCUAACACAUGCAAGUCGAGCGGCAGCGCGGGGCAACCUGGCGGCGAGCGGCGAACGGGUGAGUAACGCGUAGGAAUCUACCCAGUAGCGGGGGAUAGCCCGGGGGAAACUCGGAUUAAUACCGCAUACGCCCUAAGGGGGAAAGCAGGGGAUCGUAAGACCUUGCACUAUUGGAAGAGCCUGCGUUGGAUUAGCUAGUAGGUAGGGUAAAGGCCUACCAAGGCGACGAUCCAUAGCUGGUCUGAGAGGAUGAUCAGCCACACCGGAACUGAGACACGGUCCGGACUCCUACGGGAGGCAGCAGUGGGGAAUAUUGGACAAUGGGGGCAACCCUGAUCCAGCCAUGCCGCGUGUGUGAAGAAGGCCUUCGGGUUG